CCUACGGGGGACAGCAGUAGGGAAUUUUCGUCAAUGGGCGCAAGCCUGAACGAGCAAUGCCGCGUGAACGAGGAAGGUUUUCGGAUCGUAAAGUUCUGUUGAAGGGGAAAAAGAGCGGAGAGCGGAAAUGCUUUCUGAUUGAUAUUAUCCUUCGAGGUAGUCUAGGCUAACUCCGUGCCAGUAGCCGCGGAAAUACGUAGGUGGCGAGCGUUAUCCGGAAUGAUUGGGCGAAAGGGGUGCUUAGGCGGCCUGUUAGGUCUGGGGGGAAAGGUGCCGGCUCAACCGGUACAGGCGCUGGAAACUGGCGGGCUAGAGAGUAGGAGAGGGCGGUGGAACGCCAGGUGUAGCGGUAAAAUGCGUAGAUAUAUGGAAGAACACCAGUGGCGAAGGCGGCCGCCUGGCCUGUUAACUGACGCUGAGGCACGAAAGCGUGGGGAGCAAAUAGGAUUAGAUACCCGAGUAGU
rnacentral:rRNA from 1 species